rnacentral:rRNA from 1 species
UACGUAGGUGGCAAGCGUUGUCCGGAUUUAUUGGGUUUAAAGGGUGCGUAGGCGGCCUUGUAAGUCAGUGGUGAAAUACUCUAGCUUAACUAGAGGGGGUGCCAAUGAUACUGCAGGGCUUGAGUACAGAUGAGGUAGGCGGAAUUGACGGUGUAGCGGUGAAAUGCAUAGAUAUCGUCAAGAACACCUAUAGCGAAGGCAGCUUACUGGGCUGUAACUGACGCUGAGGCACGAAAGUGUGGGGAUCAAAACAGG